AAAUUCCCUACCAGUCGCGGCAAAUUCCGCGACCGGGUUUGGCGACCCGGAUA
rnacentral:ncRNA from 1 species